CAAAGAGUAGUUUAAUUAAGAAUCCUAGCUUUGGGAGUUAGGGGUGGGAGUUGAAGCCUCUCCUUUUUGA
rnacentral:tRNA from 1 species